UACAGAGGGUGCGAGCGUUGUCCGGAAUCACUGGGCGUAAAGGGCGCGUAGGUGGCGCCCCAAGUCUGUGGUGAAAGCUCGAUGCUCAACAUCGAGUCGGCCACGGAAACUGGGGGGCUGGAGCACUGUAGAGGCUAAUUGGAAUUCCGGGUGUAGCGGUGGAAUGCGUAGAGAUCCGGAAGAACACCGGUGGCGAAGGCGGC
rnacentral:rRNA from 1 species